UGGGCCCCGGCGCGGCGGUGGGCUCCGGCGGGUCUGCGCUGGGGAGGGCCAGGGCCCUUGACGCCGGCGUCCCUCUUAGGGGACGCGCCUGGGUGUGUCUUCACCGUUUGCCUGUCUGGGCCUGUCACCCAGGCUGGAGUGCCAUGGCGCGAUCUCGGUUCACUGCAGCCUCCACCUCCCGAGCACAGGCGAUCCUCCCGCCUCAGCCUCCAGAGCACCUGGGACCACAGGUGUCGCUACUACGCGCAGCCACUAACCGCUUUCUUAUCUGACACUUUAAGUGCUUCUUCGUACCCAGCUCCUCUAACGCCUUUUGAAGCAGCUCCAUCAUCUUUGAAGGGCAGUUCAUGCUGUUGAGAAUCAUGUUUUUAACUUUGGGAAAAUUGUAUUUCCACGAGCGCCAGCUCUGUCCUUUUUUUUUUUUUUUUUUUGACGGAGUCUUGCUCGGUUCGCCCAGGCUGGAGUGCAGUGUCGCGAUCUCAGCUCACUGCAAGUUCUGUCGCCCAGGUUCACGCCAUUCUUCUGCCUCAGCCUCCGAAAUAGCUGGGACUACAGACACGCGCCACCACGCCCAGCUAAUUUUCUGUAUUUUGAGUAUAGACCGGGUUUCACCAUGUUGGCCAGGAUGGUCUUGAUCUCUUGACCUCAUGAUCCACCCGCCUCGGCUUCCCAAAGUGCUAGGAUUACAGGCGUGAGCCACCGCGCCCCACUAUUUUGUGUGUGUGUGUGUGUGUGUGUGUGUGUGUGUGUGUGUGUGUGUGAGACAGAGUCUCGCUCUGUUCCCCAGGCUGGAGUGCAGUGGCGCAAUCUUGGCUCACUGCAACCUCUGCCUCCCGGUUCAAGCGACUCCCCUUCCUCACCCUCCUGAGUAGCUAGGAUUACAGGCAUGCACCACCACGCCCGGCUAAUUUUUGUAUUUUUAGUAGAGAUGGGGUUUCCCCGUGUUGGUCAGGCUGGUCUUGAACUCCUGACCUCAUGAUCUGCCCGCCUCAGCCUCCUAAAAUGCUGGGAUUACAGGCAUGAGCCCGGUCCUGUCCUUUCUUAUGGUCACAAAUCUGGCUUGCAUCGCUGGGCACAUCUUUAAUCCGCAGCUUCUUUCUAGGAGUGCUUGAAAAGCUCUCCUUUUAUGAAGGUUAAUUUUAGUUAAAACCAAGCAUCCUGGCCAGGCCUGGUGGCUCACGCCUGUAAUCCCAGCACUUUGGGAGGCCGAGGCAGACGGAUCAUGAGUAUAGGAGUUCGAGAACAGCCUGGCCAAAAUGGUGAAACCCCAUCUCUACUAAAAAAAAAAAAAAUACAAAAAUUAGCUGGCCAUGGUGACAGGUGUCUGUAGUCCCAGCUACUCUGGAGGCUGAGGCAGGAGAAUCUCCUGAACCCCGGAGGUGGAGGUUGCAGUGAGCCGAGAUUGCGCCACUGCACUCCAGCCAGGGCGGCAGACUCCAUCUCAAAAAUAAACAGAAAACCAGAGCAUCCUUUUAUCAAGAAGUCGGUGGAUUGCAGUAUUUCAAGGGUGAACAAGUAAAUGCAGCCUUCUCCAAGAGUGAGUCUCAUUCUGGCACCAGAAUUUAUCCAUGACAGAUAAUUGACCUUCUGAUAAACAUUCCUUGUAAGGAUGCUGGUGUUACCCAAAAUAUUAAAUAUUUAUAAAGCUGAAUAAAAUGUAAGUUCUGAUACCUUC